rnacentral:rRNA from 1 species
GUCUCAGUUCGGAUUGGAGUCUGCAACCCGACUCCAUGAAGCUGGAUUCGCUAGUAAUCGCGCAUCAGCCACGGCGCGGUGAAUACGUUCCCGGGCCUUGUACACACCGCCCGUCAAGCCAUGGAAGCCGGGAGUGCCUGAAGUACGCGACCGCAAGGAGCGUCCUAAGGUAAAACCGGUGACUGGGGCUAAGUCGUAACAAGGUAAC